rnacentral:tRNA from 1 species
ACGGGACACGAACCCGCACUUGAGGACUCAAAACCCCCCGUACUACCAUUAUACUACCUCCUAGUAAAGUCAGC